rnacentral:rRNA from 1 species
CCUACGUGGGGCAGCAGUGAGGAAUAUUGGUCAAUGGGCGCGAGCCUGAACCAGCCAAGUAGCGUGAAGGAUGACUGCCCUACGGGUUGUAAACUUCUUUUAUAAAGGAAUAAAGUGAGGCACGUGGGCCUUUUUGUAUGUACUUUCUGAAUAAGGAUCGGCUAACUCCGUGCCAGCAGCCGCGGUAAUACGGAGGAUCCGAGCGUUAGCCGGAUUUAUUGGGUUUAAAGGGAGCGUAGAUGGGUUGUUCAGUCAGUUGUGAAAGUUUGCGGCUCAACCGUAAAAUUGCAAUUGAUACUGGCAGUCUUGAGUACAGUUGAGGUAGGCGGAAUUCGUGGUGUAGCGGUGAAAUGCUUAGAUAUCACGAAGAACUCCGAUUGCGAAGGCAGCUUACUAAACUGCCACUGACAUUGAUGCUCGAAAGUGUGGGUAUCAAACAGGAUUAGAUACCCCAGUAGUC